AGAGUUUGAUCCUGGCUCAGGAUGAACGCUAGCUACAGGCUUAACACAUGCAAGUCGAGGGGCAGCGAGAGGAAAGCUUGCUUUCCUUGUCGGCGACCGGCGCACGGGUGAGUAACGCGUAUCCAACCUUCCCCUUAGUAGGGCAUAGCCCGGCGAAAGUCGGAUUAAUACCCUAUGUUUUCCAAUGAGGACAUCUGAGCUGGAACAAAGAUUUAUCGCUAAGGGAUGGGGAUGCGUCUGAUUAGGUAGUCGGCGGGGUAACGGCCCACCGAGCCUACGAUCAGUAGGGGUUCUGAGAGGAAGGUCCCCCACAUUGGUACUGAGCCAGGAUCAAACUC
rnacentral:rRNA from 1 species